CUAUACAUGCAGUCGAACGGGCGAUAGCAAUAUCGCUAGUGGCGCACGGGUGCGUAACGCGUAACCAAUCUGCCCUGAACUGGGGGAUAGCCCGCCGAAAGGCGGAUUAAUACCGCAUAAUACUAUGAUUCGGCAUCGGGUUAUAGUUAAAGAUUUAUUGGUUCAGGAUGAGGUUGCGUGCCAUUAGCUAGUUGGCGGGGUAACGGCCCACCAAGGCGACGAUGGCUAGGGGACCUGAGAGGGUGAUCCCCCACACUGGCACUGAGAUACGGGCCAGACUCCUACGGGAGGCAGCAGUAGGGAAUAUUGGGCAAUGGACGAGAGUCUGACCCAGCCAUGCCGCGUGCCGGAUGAAGGCCUUCUGGGUUGUAAACGGCUUUUCUCAGGGAAGAAAAAGGGUAUGCGUACCAAACUGACGGUACCUGAGGAAUAAGCACCGGCUAACUCCGUGCCAGCAGCCGCGGUAAUACGGAGGGUGCAAGCGUUGUCCGGAUUUAUUGGGUUUAAAGGGUGCGUAGGCGGCCCGUUAAGUCCGGGGUGAAAGCCCACAGCUCAACUGUGGAACUGCCCUGGAUACUGGCGGGCUUGAGUCCAGACGAGGUUGGCGGAAUGGAUGGUGUAGCGGUGAAAUGCAUAGAUACCAUCCAGAACCCCGAUUGCGUAGGCAGCUGACUAGGCUGGUACUGACGCUGAGGCACGAAAGCGUGGGGAGCGAACAGGAUUAGAUACCCUGGUAGUCCACGCCGU
rnacentral:rRNA from 2 species